rnacentral:rRNA from 1 species
AGAAUCAACGCUGGCGGCGUGCCUAACACAUGCAAGUCGAACGGGAAAGUGGAGCAAUCCAUGAGUAUAGUGGCGACCGGGUGAGUAACACGUGACUACCUACCCUUGAGUGGGGGAUAACCUCGGGAAACCGAGGCUAAUACCGCAUAAUAUCGAAAGAUCAAAGGAGUAAUCCGCUUUUGGAGGGGGUCGCGGCUGAUUAGCUAGUUGGUAAGGUAAUGGCUUACCAAGGCGAAGAUCGGUAUCCGGCCUGAGAGGGCGCACGGACACACUGGAACUGAAACACGGUCCAGACUCCUACGGGAGGCAGCAGUGGGGAAUUUGCGCAAUGGGGGAAACCCUGACGCAGCAACGCCGCGUGGAGGAUGAAGCCCCUUGGGGUGUAAACUCCUUUCGACUGGGAAGAUUAUGACGGUACCAGUGGAAGAAGCACCGGCUAACUCUGCGCCAGCAGCCGC